UAUUAAGGUGGCAGAGCCCGGUAAUUGCAAAAGGCCUAAGCCCUUUCAGCCGGAGGUUCAAAUCCUCCCCUUAAUU
rnacentral:tRNA from 1 species